AGAUUCGAUUAGCUCCAGUCCAAUUGUAAUCCUUAUGAAAAUUUUUUCUAUCAAUCACACUAUUGUAGCCACAAACGCUCAGACUUAGCCUCUCAAAUCUCAUAGGACUACUCUUUUCUAUCAAGAUCGAUAGAUUCCAUCGUGAUGCACACUCUACUCCUACAGUAGAUCAACUAUCGCCAACAUCCACUAUAAGGGCUCAU
rnacentral:lncRNA from 1 species